rnacentral:lncRNA from 1 species
AUUUAAAAUCGUGUAUUAGUUAUAAGUUUUGUCAAUUGCAUUCUGCAUAUAGGUUGUGAUUUGUGAAUUUAAAUUGAAAGUUGUGUUAAGGCCGAGAGUAUUCUGCUUAAUUUUAGGCAUAGGCUGAUUUAGGAUUCACUUGCUUUUGCUUCCAGCUACCCUUCCCUUUUUUUUUUUUUUUUAGCUUUCAAUUACUUGAUAAUAGCGUUAUUGUACAAUAACAUCAAAGUAUGAAAACUUGCAAGAAGCAUGUUUGAUUAUAAACUGUCAUUUUUAGUGUUACCGCGGUUUGGUUUAUAGUUUUAUCACCACUAAAUUCAUGAUCAAAACUCAAUGUUCGACGUGGGUUAAAUUAUGCUUACACUGAACAAAUUUCCUGGCUCUAUCCGUGCUGGUGAGUCUCACAUCCCAUCAAUUGCAGUGGUAAAGUGCUACCAAUCUUUUGUCUUACUGGUUUUCUUGCUCUUUCUAAUCAUUCGAACUUGUUUCUGUGUUUUAUUCCAACUUGCUAACCUCUAAGGUUGUUAGCUCGAGGCAAUGGCCAUCAAUCUCUUGUUACCAAGCAUGUGUUCUCACCAUCUCCUAAGGUUGAAAUAAUUGAUUCUCUAUAUAAGCAUGUAUCAAACACUGUGGAUGAUGGCAUAAUUAGGUGAGUUUAUUGUCUUCAGACGGCACAAUUAAGCCAAUCCCUGGCUUGAGCAUUUCUUCCUUGUAACUAUUUGCUAUGAAAUUGUAGUACACACUACACAAAUUCGAUAGGAGAUACUUGCUGGUCUUUGUGUGAAGCGUCCAAUUCCAAGAUGUCUUAGGUACCUUGUAAAACAUUUCUUCCAAUCUUAGAGGCAACAGUGACAUUGUGCUGCAUUGCUUUACAGUGGGUUAGAAAAAAUAUGCAUAGGCUCAAUAUAGUUAUCGAAGAUACAUAUACUUUUAGCUGAUAAAUAAGUAUUACAUACAUUUGUUGAGCCUUUUGAACCUAUUAAAUAUUGAAAACGACUUUUUCAUGCACAAUAUUUUACUUUCCCUUUUAAAUCACGUCAUAUGUUGUGCCCAAAAACUUUUGCAGUUUAAUAUGGACACCAACUUAGGAUUCUUUUCUCGAAAUUCCAAAGAAACCCAGAACAUUGAGCCAAAAGGGAAUUUACGCUGGAUUACUAAGCUUUUGAUGGUGGAAUUAUAAUUGGGAAUGAAUGAGAAAUUGAUAAAAUGAAUAUUGAAAAGGUUUGUAAUCUUGAGAACAGAGGAAGAAACCCAUGACCUGCACAAUAACCUUGAGCAUGCUGUGGUAGAUGCUGAAAACUCUAAACAGAGAGCAUUCGAAGAAUCAGUGAGGUAGUGGAGAGCCUAAGAAGAUGUCUAGAUUUUUUUUCACAAAAUAUUUUGUUGUGUCCACUUCUCCUUCUGAGAAUCUAUUUUUUGUAGGGAGAAUGCAAUCUUUCCUUCAAUUAAAUAGUUGUGAAAGAUGAUGACAGGAAUUCGGUAAGUUUUUCUUUUGUUCUUAGUUUUGUAAAAUUUUCUAUAUAUAUAUAUUUUUAAAUUUCUAUGGUUUUUGGAUUUUGAUUUGAAGGGGCAUGACUACAUCAACAGCUUCAAGGGUUGUACCUUUGGCCAUCUGGUCUACCUUCUGCAAUCACCAUUUAACCCACUUCUUCAAUUGCACAGACUCUCUGGGAGUCACUUCCACAUGUUGUUUCUUUCAUCACUCCAUUAUUCCUCCACCAAGUCAACCUUCAAAGAGUUAUUUACGCGAGGCAUGGAGUCACGACAAGAUGAGGAGAAGCUUCAAUUUUUACACUUUUUGCUUGAUAGCUGUUAAUGAAUGCUUAGCAUGUAUUCGAUGAAAUGACUAUUAUUAUUUCCUUCGUUCCAUAGUUUAAGAAGGCUCCAAAGG